rnacentral:rRNA from 1 species
UACGGAGGAUGCGAGCGUUGUCCGGAAUUAUUGGGUGUAAAGGGCGCGUAGGCGGCUAAGUAAGUCAAACGUGAAAACUACAGGCUCAACUUGUAGCUUGCGUUUGAAACUGCAUAGCUUGAGUAAAGUAGAGGUAAGUGGAAUUUCCAGUGUAGCGGUGAAAUGCGUAGAUAUUGGAAGGAACACCAGUGGCGAAGGCGACUUACUGGGCUUUUACUGACGCUGAGGCGCGAAAGCGUGGGUAGCAAAC